rnacentral:rRNA from 1 species
GACGAACGCUGGCGGCGUGCUUAACACAUGCAAGUCGAGCGGUAAGGCCCUUUCGGGGGUACACGAGCGGCGAACGGGUGAGUAACACGUGGGUGACCUGCCCUCAGCUCUGGGAUAAGCCCGGGAAACUGGGUCUAAUACCGGAUAUGACUUCAUGACGCAUGUUGUGGAGUGGAAAGCCUUGUGCGGCUGAGGAUGGGCCCGCGGCCUAUCAGCUUGUUGGUGGGGUGAUGGCCUACCAAGGCGACGACGGGUAGCCGGCCUGAGAGGGCGACCGGCCACACUGGGACUGAGAUACGGCCCAGACUCCUACGGGAGGCAGCAGUGGGAAUCUUGCGCAAUGGGCGAAAGCCUGACGCAGCGACGCCGCGUGAGGAUGACGGCCU